GUUGAUCCCCAAACCCUUUCGCUCUCUAGACGCAGACACCUCGUCUCCCACACGCAACCUCCUCUUCCCACUCCCCAUCUAGGGCCGCCGCUGCCGCCGCCGUCCCGUCGCUCCUCCGGCGCUGGCCACCGAAGGAAGGUUGGCUUCUCCUAUGGAUCUUCUCCUCUUGGUGGCCCCUCCGUCCUCUUCGCCGGCGGCGAGCUCUUCGGGUCGGGGUCCUCGCCGCUCGUCUUCCUGACCCUGCUCCUGACCGAGGGCGGCGGCAUGGACCUCCUACUUCCCUCUCUUAUUCCCCUGUGCCUCGGCGAGGUGGGCCAAGCCAGCGCACACGACAAAGGGUGGUUGCGGCUACGGCUCCGACGCGGGCGCCGCGGAGGUGGAGGCGGAGCUGCGGUGGCUGGUGAUGGAUGGCCGCGACAACGGCGUCAGCUUCGACGAGUUUCAUCACCUCCACUGCUAUCUCAGGCAGUAGCCAAUUGAUGGAUUUGACUGCUGAUCCCUUUGUGUUGGCUGAUGGUGGUGAGAUGGAAAUAAGGAUCAACCAUGGUGGGAUGGGAAUCUUUAAGAGGAAGAAUCAAGCGACACGAGCACCUAAUCCACAUGUGUUGACAAUCUCUGCUCCUUUUUAAACUCAAGAUUUUAACCAAGAUCAUAUACAUUGUGAACCAAAGAUAGUUUAGUAUUCGGUUUAAUUCUGCUGUUUGUUCUAUUAGACAAAUUACUAUUAUGUUGAAACCUUGCCGUGGUUGUGCUAAAUUGUUUAUUUCUAUCUGUACCUGCCAGUUCUAAGCACCUAUUUCUUCUUCUUCUUCUUUUGUAUCUAUACAUAACAAUUCUAUUUUUCUUACCCCUGCAGUUAUACAUGACCUGCAGCUUAUUCACAUGGAUCUUAAGCCAGAGAACAUUCUCCUUGUUUCACCUGAUACAAUCAGGGUUCAUGAUUAUAAGGUGUGUCUUCGGUUGCAUCCUUGAAAUAUUUCACUACUUAUGUUGGAUGGAUGAUGGAUCUCAUACUUUCAAGGGAUAUCUACUAACAAACUACCAAAAUAUAUAGCUACUUUAUUGUGACAAGUUUUUAUAUCAGAGGCACAUGCGAGUUUGGCUGUUUGCUGACUUGAUUCAAGCUAUCCUGGUGGAGUGACAUCAACAUCCAGAAUGCCAAAAGGCUUUUGGUAGAUUCCAAGGCAGGAUAAAAUCCAUACAAUGGUUUCACACCUUCAGUAAGUCUUGCCAUGCACUAUUUUUUCAUGAAUUUGAGGACGAGGAGAGCUACGAGCGGUUCUGGCGGCAUGAGCGGCGAGGAGUGAUGGCGUGCGACUACACUGAGGUGUACGCCUCCAUGUCAGGCAACUGUGGCCGUCACGUCGUGGAGCAGCGUUCUGCCAUGGUGAACUGGAUCAUCGAGUGGUUUCUUCUGUUUGCCCAUUGAAUCUGCUCACAAGAGAUGUGAUAAUUCUAAGCUGGAGGAAGUUGUGGAAGAGGCUACCAAGCUCCAGGAAGCUGCAGUUGAGGAAGAACAGAAGCUUGCCAGUGCUGAGAAGUAUGUUACCUUGCUAGCAAUGGAGGAUUCGCAUAUCUUAGGUGUCAUUUCGAAGUCCACAUCGGAACCAGCCAUCAAGAGCAUUAAAGGUGCCUCAACUGAAGAUGGUGAGAGCAGCAAAUGGUCACUGGUGUUGGAGAUAGAUGAUGAGAUCAAUAGUACCAGUGAAGAUAAGGAAGUAGCUGCCGUUGAAGUGCCAAAAAGGAAGCCAUCAAUGUAGAUGCUUUCAGUUCCACCGCCCAGCUGUUGUAACAGAGAAGGAAGUCUCUGGUGUUUAUUUCAAGGAAGAUGCUCUCAGUUCCACCGUUGAGGCUGCUGAUGCUGCUAGCAAUAUAGCCCCAGCAGCUGUGACAGCGAAGGAAGUCACUUCUGCUGAGCGGGAGCCUGCCACAGCAGCCGACCUGUGAGGUAUGCUAUUUGGUACCAGCACUUCAUUCUCAACAUAAGGUUGUGUCUGUUACUCAUAUAAAAGGCUUUUUUCUAGAUCUGCAGAUUAUGGUUUUCCAAACACAAUACACUGAUUGUAGUUUUUGUGAGCUUGUUCUUUAUAAGAAAAUAAUUGAACCUUUUCAAUUGUCAUUAUGCCAUUGAUAUCAAAAUCUUGCAUGAGUUUUUGUUGAUUGUUUAGUGACUAAGCUUAUGUUGGUUAAUAUGAAUUUGAAUUGCACUCUGGAUCAAGUUAUUUUCUGAUAUGGUAGCUCAUUGCUAAAUUUUUUUGGCCCAUUCUAAUUGUAAAACGAAGCAAUAGCAAAUCAAUCGUGAGGUUUCAAGCACAAAAUAAACUACAUGUAGCCCAUUUCACCAUGAUUUGGAUUACUGAACUGUUGUCCCGAAAGAACAAUGUACAUGACAUGACAAACUAAGAACACAAGCAUGGCUGAUUUACUGAA